UGUUCUUAUUUGGCUACCUCUUUUUAAAAACCUAACAUAAAUGGUGCCGUGACUUGGAUAAAGGCCUUCAAGUCAGGAUAGGUGUGAUUCCUCUCUGAUUUUCUUCCUCUUUUUUCUUAUUUUGUUUUUCCCUUUUUGCUCUGAGGAAUACCCACAGUUCUGACAGCCUUUUGUGAACCCAUCUGUCUGCUGUGGACACAGCACAUCGAUAUCAUUGCUGGCCUUCACAUCCACAUCCACACCACUUCUCUACUCUGAGGACUCCUCAUGCAGAAACUCUACAGGAAACAUUGGAGAAAAUGACUUCCAGAAGAACGUGAUGAAAAUAAGUCAUGGGAACACAAAGAAAAACGAUUACAACAAUCUACUCUUCACUCUGUUGCUUUGUUAGAAAUCUCUAUUCACUGUGUUUGCACAGACUUUACAAAGUUAUUAUUUUCAAUAAUUUAUUUUUAUACUCAUUAGUAUUUUGUGACAAAGUUCAUCAGCUACUUCAUUUCUCAAUUUAAUGUUUUCUUUAUUUCUUGAUUUAUAGAAUUUGGAGGAGGACAACCUGCAUAACUUUGUAUGUAAGGAAGUGAUAAUAAACAGUUCAGCAUUUAA